AUUGAACGCUGGCGGCAGGCCUAACACAUGCAAGUCGAACGGUAACAGGAAGAAGCUUGCUUCUUUGCUGACGAGUGGCGGACGGGUGAGUAAUGUCUGGGAAACUGCCUGAUGGAGGGGGAUAACUACUGGAAACGGUAGCUAAUACCGCAUAACGUCGCAAGACCAAAGAGGGGGACCUUCGGGCCUCUUGCCAUCGGAUGUGCCCAGAUGGGAUUAGCUAGUAGGUGGGGUAACGGCUCACCUAGGCGACGAUCCCUAGCUGGUCUGAGAGGAUGACCCGCCACACUGGAACUGAGACACGGUCCAGGAUCCUACGGGAGGCAGCAGUGGGGAAUAUUGCACAAUGGGCGCAAGCCUGAUGCAGCCAUGCCGCGUGUAUGAAGAAGGCCUUCGGGUUGUAAAGUACUUUCAGCGGGGAGGAAGGGAGUAAAGUUAAUACCUUUACUCAUUGACGUUACCCGAAGAAGAAGCACCGGCUAACUCCGUGC
rnacentral:rRNA from 1 species